UACAGAGGUCCCAAGCGUUGUUCGGAUUCACUGGGCGUAAAGGGUGCGCAGGUGGUCGGGUAAGUCUGACGUGAAAUCCCGCAGCUUAACUGCGGAAUGGCAUUGGAUACUAUUCGGCUAGAGGGUUGGAGGGGGGACUGGAAUUCUCGGUGUAGCAGUGAAAUGCGUAGAUAUCGAGAGGAACACCAGUGGCGAAGGCGGCUCACUGGCCCGGUACUGACGCUGAGGUGCGAAAGCGUGGGGAGCAAACAGG
rnacentral:rRNA from 1 species